AUGUCAGACACUGCCAUGGACACCAGCUCAGAGAUCACCACCAAGGACUUGAAGGAAAGAAGGAGGUUUGCGGAGAAUGGCAGAGACGCCCUUGCGAGUGGGAAAGCUAAGUAGGAGAAUGGGGAGCAGGAGGCCGACAAAGAGGUAGGCAAGGAAGACAAGGAAGGUGAAGGGGGGGGGGGAGGAGGAAGAAAGUGAUGGUGAGGAAGAGGAUGGAGAUGAGGAUGAGAAGGCAGAGGCAGCUAUGGGCAAGUGGGCAGUUGAGGACAAUGAGGAUGACGACGUGGAUACCAAGAAGCAGAAGACCGACGAGGAUGACUAGACAGAAAAAAAAAAAAAAAAAAAAAAGGAAAAGUUAACU